AGAGGUCACCAACCCUGGUCCUCGAGGGCUACUAUCCUGUAUGUUUUAGAUGCAUCCCUCUUCCAGCACACCUGACGGUCGUUAUCAAGCUUCUGCAUAGCUUGAUGAUUGGCUUAUCAUUUCAGUCAGGUCUGUUGGAAGAGGGAUACAUCUAAAACAUGCAGGAUAGUAGCCCUCGAGGACCAGGGUUGGUGACCCCUGAUUCACUGGGUCACAUGAACAUGUC